rnacentral:rRNA from 1 species
AACGAACGAGACUCUAGCCUGCUAAAUAGUACACCGGUAAAUCGUGUUCGUACAGGAUGCAAUGUUAAUUAUGUGCGAUAUUAUCAGCAGUGGCAAUGCAUUAUAAUGUAGUGCUAUUGUUGACGAUGUCUGUACAGUUUGGCAUGGCUUUCUGACGAACACUAUGCAGGUGAAACUUCUUAGAGGGACAAGUUGAACUUAAAACAGCACGAAAUUGAGCAAUAACAGGUCUGUGAUGCCCUUAGAUGUCCGGGGCCGAACGCGCGCUACAAUGACAGUACCAGUGUGUAUGAUGACCUUGCCUGAAAAGGUUGGGCAAACCGUUCCAUUACUGUCGUGACAGGGAUCGGGGUUUGUAAUUAUCCCCCGUGAACGAGGAAUUCCCAGUAAGUGCAAGUCAUAAGCUUGUGCUGAUUACGUCCCUGCCCUUUGUACACACCGCCCGUCGCUACUACCGAUUGAAUGGUUUGGCAAGGCCCUCAGAUUGGCACCAUUGUAGUAUUUCGUUUCCACAAUUUAGUGGUACGUUUGCUCGACAGGUACUGAGAAGAGGACCAAACUUGAUCAUUUAGAGGAAGUAAAAGUCGUAACAAGGUUUCCGUAGUGAACCUGCGGAAGGAUCAUUA